rnacentral:rRNA from 1 species
CAGUCGAGCGAGCGGAACCACAGAUUUACUUCGGUAAUGACGUUGGGAAAGCGAGCGGCGGAUGGGUGAGUAACACGUGGGGAACCUGCCCCUAAGUCUGGGAUACCAUUUGGAAACAGGUGCUAAUACCGGAUAAUAAAGCAGAUCGCAUGAUCAGCUUUUGAAAGGCGGCGUAAGCUGUCGCUAAGGGAUGGCCCCGCGGUGCAUUAGCUAGUUGGUAAGGUAACGGCUUACCAAGGCGACGAUGCAUAGCCGAGUUGAGAGACUGAUCGGCCACAUUGGGACUGAGACACGGCCCAAACUCCUACGGGAGGCAGCAGUAGGGAAUCUUCCACAAUGGACGCAAGUCUGAUGGAGCAACGCCGCGUGAGUGAAGAAGGUUUUCGGAUCGUAAAGCUCUGUUGUUGGUGAAGAAGGAUAGAGGUAGUAACUGGCCUUUAUUUGACGGUAAUCAACCAGAAAGUCACGGCUAACUACGUGCCAGCAGCCGCGGUAAUACGUAGGUGGCAAGCGUUGUCCGGAUUUAUUGGGCGUAAAGCGAGCGCAGGCGGAAAAAUAAGUCUAAUGUGAAAGCCCUCGGCUUAACCGAGGAACUGCAUCGGAAACUGUUUUUCUUGAGUGCAGAAGAGGAGAGUGGAACUCCAUGUGUAGCGGUGGAAUGCGUAGAUAUAUGGAAGAACACCAGUGGCGAAGGCGGCUCUCUGGUCUGCAACUGACGCUGAGGCUCGAAAGCAUGGGUAGCGAACAGGAUUAGAUACCCUGGUAGUCCAUGCCGUAAACGAUGAGUGCUAAGUGUUGGGAGGUUUC